AUUGAACGCUGGCGGCAGGCCUAACACAUGCAAGUCGGACGGUAGCACAGAGAGCUUGCUCUCGGGUGACGAGUGGCGGACGGGUGAGUAAUGUCUGGGGAUCUGCCCGAUAGAGGGGGAUAACCACUGGAAACGGUGGCUAAUACCGCAUAACGUCGCAAGACCAAAGAGGGGGACCUUCGGGCCUCUCACUAUCGGAUGAACCCAGAUGGGAUUAGCUAGUAGGCGGGGUAACGGCCCACCUAGGCGACGAUCCCUAGCUGGUCUGAGAGGAUGACCAGCCAACCUGGAGCGGAGACACGGUCUAGACUCCUACGGGAGGCAGCAGUGGGGAAUAUUGCACAAUGGGCGCAAGCCUGAUGCAGCCAUGCCGCGUGUAUGAAGAAGGCCUUCGGGUUGUAAAGUACUUUCAGCGGGGAGGAAGGCGAUGUGGUUAAUAACCGUAUCGAUUGACGUUACCCGCAGAAGAAGCACCGGCUAACUCCGUGCCAGCAGCCGCCGUAA
rnacentral:rRNA from 1 species